CGGAGGCUCAUCCAGAGCCGAGUUUCACCGCUAAUCACUUCCUUCGCGCUUCUGCGACGAGGUGAGGGCGACAACGAAGUGACAAGACACUCACGCACUGUACCCGCACCUUGCUCCACGGCAGCUCCGGGCCCGCUUCACUGCCCCAUGUCUGAAGCGCCGCGCAAGGGCUGCACUAAGAGGGGCGCCGAACCGAGGGUAGAAAUCAAAUUUGCACAAUACCAUGGCAUCAGUGAUUUCAUGUGAUUCCACAGUUUAAACAAGAGGCUUACAGGUAAUUGUUAUGCAAUCUGAUGUGCUGCCAUGAUUAUUUCUGUAAAUUGCAAUAAUAUUUUUUUCAGUGCAAGCUUACGUUAUCCUUGUUUUGAACAGUACAGCUCCACACACACAUCCUGAGCAAAGCAGAAACAUUUACUGGAAUUACGCAUCACAAAAGGCAUAGACGCCUGCAGGUCUGUAAUAAGUACACUUCUGUCAGCUGGUGUUCAUUUGACACAGACAAUCCAUGAGAGGCUUUCUUUUUUAUGAUUAAUUACCUAAGUUAUGGGGUUUUGCAGAUUCCCAUUCAACAUCUUUGAUCCAGUCCUGGAUAUUACGUGGGAUUACUUGGUCCUGUUUGGGUGGAUUGGGUAACCUCAUUUCCUCAUUGCCAUUUCACCAGGAAUUCUGCUUUUUCUUAGUGCCAUGCCUUUUUUUUUUUUUAAUCAAAAUCAAUGCUUUCUUGCUUCCAUAUCUGAUCUCUCUGCUGUUUUAUUCAGACAUGAAGUGCCACAAGACAGCCAGGAAGAUCCCUGUAUACUUUGUCAUCUGUUGUGUCUCUCAUCUUUGCUUAUGAUGGCUGCAAUUGUUUCAGUUACCUCAUUACAUGAAGGAGCUUACUGGAUUGUUUUCGCUGUUUUAAUCUUCAAUGGCAGCAAGGAACUAACGAAUGCCUCUUGUUCAGUUCAACAUGUUACAUUAUCUUUCCAUUGUGGAAUAGUUGGAAGAAGCGUCAGAAUUCUGGAAGGUUUUAUUCGAAGGGGUGAGAGGUGAAAAUCUUGGGAGGCAAGAUUUCCAAAUACUUAAAAGGAUUUCCAAUAGAAACUGCAGCUACAUUCUACCGGCACCAUCUGAGUAUGAUUUUCAAAGGCAGGGCUUCUGACUACCAUUUCUAUUUUGACUUUUAGGCUGAAAAUGGUGAGAGAAAUGCAGAGUUCCAAAAGAGACACAACAAAAUAAUUUCUUAUACAGAAAUCAAAACAUCGUUAAUUUCCUCUGUCCAGACAACAUUAAAAGACACAGCUCCUUUGGUGAAAUUAAGUCAAAGCAUAGGCAACGGAGAUGACAGUUGCUUCGAUAAACAGAGCUGUAAGAUUGCUCCACUACAUAAAGGAAGGCUAUUCAUACAGGCUUGUGUAAUUUAAGGACUUCAAAUUACAUGCAAUAACAUGCAAUUAUAAAUUGUAUUAAUGCAGAGACUUACUUCUGUGAGUGUAUGAAACCUGAAAAAAACAAGUAGCUAUUUUAUUUCCUCUAAAUCCCCAAUCCCAACUUUACUAGCAUAACAUGCAAACUUCAAAAUGUCCAUUAACAGGUAGUCUCCUUAGAAUUUCUGGUGUGAAAACGUUUGAAUUUUUCAAUUAAAUCUUGAUAGAAAGGUUGCUUUUAUGACCUAAAGCAAAUGGUGGGUAAUUUAGUGGGGUCUGGCUUCUCUGCUUUCAGUGUUUUGUUCGAAUUAUUACAAUGCAUGGGUUUGGUUGUAAGAAGGAAAAAACAUAUUGUCAUGCCUGUGAGGUAUUAGAAAUCAGGGUUAAGUUUCUCUUCUGAUCUAGGCAGUGAUAUGGUGGCAUUGAGUUUGUACUCUAAUUCAAGCAGCAAGCUGCUCUGUUCUGAGUGCUCACUUCUUCCUUUUUAUUUUCUGUUUUGCCCUGUUUCAAGGGUGACAUCUAUCAUAGCCCACAAUACUAUGUCUCGUUGUGCCUAAAGAGCUCAAGUUGGUGUCUUGCCAGUGCCAAAAGACAUUGAUUCAAAAAGAUAUUUGAGAAUGCUGAAGUGAAACUUCAGGAUUGUAUGAUCUUCUUGACUCCUGUUUUAACGUAUACACUGUUGUACUUCUCUUCAUCACAUACUCAGACUAACACAGUCCCACAUAACAAGAAACCAGACGGAACUGCCAGCCCUUAACUUUUACUGUUUGCUUAGGAACCGUUCGUGCGAGAGCUAAUGUGAAAGCGUAUCAACUCAUUUUUUCACCAAUGUGUGAUGAAUAACAGAUUUUGCAAUAAAAAUGGCUCAGGAAAAGACAAGACACAUUUUCUGUCUGACAGCCACUUUUGACUAUGUCAAACAAAGACAUAAAACUUGAUUUUAGCCAAUACAUCAUGUGGACUUUUUGGAACAAAAUUAUGCAGUUGACUGACUCCAUUCUUUCUGAAAUCUUUUCCGCAGAUGUUAUUCCAGUCUGACAGGGUUACACUGUGGCACUGAGGGCUGCUGACACAAGGAGCCCAGGGCUCUCCUGGAAGAUGAGACCGAUUGCCCUUCGUGUUGUGGGCAGUUCCGUGCAGCCAGGCUUUACCAUGGAGCCUUUGCUGGCUCCAGCACUGGCAGAACCUAGAAGCAGAGUACAGCUCUGCUUCCCUGCACACUCUCCUGCAUUCUAACUAUUCAGCUGGAUUCAGAGACCUGGCCCUAAGAGAUAAAAGCUUGUCCUGUUAUAAACCAGACGUGAACGAUGAUGUCGGAGCGCCUCAUGCCUAUCUGAUCUGCAGAAAAGUUAUUUGCUGCAGCGCUUUCUAAUGGUAUUGAAACAAGCUCCGUGGGAUCAUGCUGGGAGGAGCUGCAAUAGGUUUGCAGGAGGAAGCCAAGAUGGUUGAAGGAAAUACUAGUAAGCACCUUACUCUUUAAGUAUCCAGCCUCCGUGGAAGUAUGUUCUUGUCAGCGUUCCUACUCUUGGGUCCCUCCUUCCAGUUAUGAGAUGACAUGAUUAUGAUUUUGCAGGGUAAACUUAAAAGGACUCUUUAAAUUUAUUGACAAGAAAGCAAGUCUACUAUUACUACGCAUAUAGGACUGUUUAGACUAUCGACCACUUGACAACAAAUUGGCUUUACUUUCUAUUAGUUUUCUUUUCCUGUUGUUUUUCUUUCUCAUUCAUGGAUAAUAUCAAGCUAAAAAUACAUUUAAAAGUUUUUUUGCAUAUUUUUUGUUCAAAAUAAAAAUGGUAUUUUUGAUGGGAAAGAGACCAUAGCUUUCUGCUUGUGGGUGAUAUUUCUAGUCAAAUUAUAUGUUGUCACUAGCAGUAGCUUUAUACAUACUUCUCUUAGUGAGCCUCACUUCUACCUCUAUAAUAAUUCAUGGAGCCUGACAUUAAGGGAUAGUAGAUGGCAGACUAGUCCUAUUCCGAUGACAUAUAUCAUGCAUGACAUAUUUCAUUGCCUGGAUUAUAUGCGGUCUGUCUGAAUGGUGACCCCAAGUAACACAUUUACAGUAUAUCCUUCUGUAGAACACAACUGUUCAGAGCUCUAUUUAUAAACUGUUUAGUAGUUAAAUGUCUUGUAAAGGUUCCUGUCCAUAAAAGCAAGAAUUCACACUUCCAAUGUGUUAGUGAAAUGCACACGUUUAUUUGCAAAUCAGUCUCUGUACUAGUUUUAUCCGUUCUAAACCCCAGCUGAAUCAAUGAAAUUUUCUCUCUUCAGCUGGCUUUCAGUCAUGCCCACAAUCACUUUCUCUGUGUGCUUCAAAUGUUUAAUCAGUAAACACCGCAGGGAAAUAUUUAACUACAAACAAAAAUCUAUCACCACUGCUAUGUCAUAAACACACGGGGAAAUUCCUGUUUAAUUUUCUGAAAUUGCUUGCUUACAGCACUAAAUACGUGGGAUUAAGCUGACUUUAAGAAAGUGCAAACUGAGAAGCAAUAAGAUGCUUUUGGCCCUACACUGUUUCUGUAGGCUUUGCAAAGAUACUAUCGUGCAGCCUUCAGUCACAGCAGGAAUGAACUGGAAGUUGCUUGAGAGGAGCUGGUGGGUAGGUAAAAGGUUGCUAUAAAACCUUAAACCUCCCCUAAGGUCAUACUGCAAGCUGCUUGAAAUAACAAAUGUUAAAACCAAGUAAUGCAACUGUGGCAUAAAUACUAAAGUGCUGGCUAACAGGACAGAGAGAUAAAAAGACAAAAAAGAUGAGAUACCUCUGAAUGAAGAAGCAAUGGCUAUCUAUAUGACCUUUCCUUAAUCCUUACAACCCUUCUGCAGUUUCAAGCCCCAGUCAUCUCUCCUAUUCCCCCUCUGAACAUCCUGUCUUCUCAGUUCCAUUCUCUCUUCUUUCUUUCAUGUGAUCGUCACUUAACCUCUUCUCUGACUUCAGGCCUCCUUCUUUAAUGCUCUCCUAAUUAGUUCCCCUCCAUCAGCUUGGUGUUUCAUUUGCCACGUGCUACUCCAGCCCUGCUUCUGUCUAUAGCUCUUUGAUGCCUAAUUCACCUGAUUACCUUUCAUUCAACUUAGCAUCUUUAUCUGUUAUUUACAAGACAGUGGAACUUUCUCUGUCUUCUCACAGUCACCCAACCUGUUCUGAAUUAAGCACUGUCUGUUCUCAGAUGUUUCUUCCUUUCCUCUUCUUUUCCUAAGCCAUACUUUAUUCUGUUUGAAUUUGCAUCCUCUCCUGCUGUGAGUUCUUUGUAUGAUGUUUGUUCCAUCAGUUUCUGACUUCUCUGCUGUUUCCAACCUCUUUUUCUUGCUCUUCCUGCACUGUUGCUGACUCUUUGACUGGAUUAGUUUUCAAAAUGGAUACUGCUGUUUGGGUUUGGACUGUGUGACAGAGACCACAUUUAAGAGCUAGUAUCUCUUUCCUGGAAGCCAGUCUUCCCAGUGCACACUACCCCCAAAGCAUCCUUUUAUCAAUACUUGGAACACCCUCCCUCCAAGCUGAAUUACAACCUCACAUCACUGCACUCAGAGGAGAAGGUUUCUACACAGAGAAUUUACUAUCCAAAUACUGACAAUAGAAGGGAUCAGCAAAACGUCAUUGGUCCUGUUUUACAGUGGCUCAGCUGAGACUUUAAUUCAGACCUUGUAAAACUUACUCCGAUUUGUUAAUGGUGGAAGUACUCUGUGACUUGGACUGCCCUCUCCCUGGUUCUCCUAGAAGCCAAACCAAGCCUGGGCAAAUGUGGAGAUUUUCUCAGCAUCUUCCAUAGCUACGCAGUGUCACAAUUAAGGUGCUGCUGAUUUUCCUGACAGUUGUAUUGCAGACUUUACUGUGAAGUGCUGUCAAACAGUAGAAACUAUUUCAAGGGCACUAAAACAGGCUGCUAUUAUUUCAGCUGACCAGGAAGCUGAUGUGAUUGCAUGUAACAAUAUGGUCAGUGCCCUUACUGGCAACUGUUUUCAGUUUUUUCCAACAUUUUCCUUUUUUUUUUCAAUGAGAAGUAGAUCACGAACAUUCACAGAUACAAACAUAAAUGUUAAUGUGUAGUCAGCAAUGUUUCUGAUGUGCAAGUCAGCUCUUUUUGAAGGACUUUUCUGCUCUCUUGCAUUGAAAAAUACACCCUUUAGAAUGGGAAUCUUAAAAAUGUACCGAGGUUCAAUAGUUACUUUCCAGAAUCUUGGCCACAUCUUUAUAUCAUGCAUGUAAUGCCUUUUCACUGUAAAAAACCUCUUUCUUCCUAAAGCAAACUAUCCUUUAGCAUGAAUCCAGGUUUUAACCUGACAUCUUUAAUGCCCUCAAGGGAGAUAAAACACUAAGCAAUGAGUUUUAUGAAAGUAUAUAACCUAGUAUAUAUAAGCUGCUAAUAAUCCCCAUCCAGACAUGCAGCCUUUCAAAUAGAUGCCACAACUAGCAAACUGAACAUAUUAGGGAGUCAUAAUUCUGUGAACAGUCCUUCUCAAUCGCAUGACCAUGGUCAUUUCUUUUAAAGACGUGUGAAGAACAGAAAGGUUGACAAAUAUAUUUGCUAACUAGGUCCUCAGCUAAACUGAGAGUAAAACACACAGAUGCCUUCUUCUUCCUUUCUUUUCCUGACUGUAUAGGAAUGGCUUGCUGAGAAAUUAUCACAUGUUAAAUUUAAAAACCAUGUUUUUACUGACAAAACAAAGGCAGGCAGAUACUAGUAACUUUGCAAAGUGGUUCUGGAUUUGCUCAUGAGAAGGUUAAGUCAAGAUGGGGAGGCGAGGGAGGUGCUGCGAAAGGCAGGUGGUAGAAGAAAUACAGGUUGUGAAUUCAGUGUCAGACUGGUAAUGAAUACAGUAUUGGUAAUCAGCUCUGACAGGGAAGAUAUAUUUCUAACUGGCUUUCCAAGCCUCAGUCUUGGUCUUGGCAGAAACACAGAGAGAAUUUUAGUGAGCUAUUCUGUAGGUAAAAGAUUAAUUAUUUACCACUACAGCAGAGAUGUACAGUGUGGAAGGUGGAAAGGGGCCAUUUGAGGCCACACAUGUAACUGAGAAUCCCUGUACUUUAAGCACAUAUUUGGCUUGUUUCUAAGCCUGUCCUAGCUAGGCUGAUUUCUAAACCGCUGUCUUAAUCAGCAAUGUUUUUAAGCCUUAUGUCUACUUUUCUGACUCAUUUUAUUGUAAUUUUUACUUUUAAAAUAAGAAGAGAUUGAUUAUGCCAGAUGCCUAGCAAUGAUUCAGAGCAACACUUAAAAUUUUUAGAACCUAUUCUAAAACAUUGUUCCCACCUUGAAUACUGUGUUCAGUUUUGGGCCCCUCAUCUUAAGAAGGACAUUGACGUACUAGAGAGAGUGCAGAGGAGGGCAAUGAGGCUGGUGAGGGGUCUGGAGCACAAGUCUGAUGAGGAGCAGCUGAGGGAACUGGGCUGUUCAGCCUGGAGAAAAGGAGGCUGAGGGGAGACCUGAUCGCUGCCUACAACUACCUGACAGGAGGUUGUAGCAUGGAGGGGGUUGGACUCUUCUCCCAGGUAACAAGUGACAGGACAAGAGGAAAUGGCCUCAAGUUGAGCCAGGGGAGGUUUAUAUUGCAUAUUAGGAAAAAAUUCUUCAUGGAAAGUGAACAGGCUGCCCAGGGAAGUGGUUGAGUCACCAUCCCUGGCGGUGUUUAAAAGAUGCAUAGAUGAGGUUCUUAGGGACACAGUUUAGUGCUACAGUUAGGUUAUGGUUGGACUCAGUGAUCCUGAGGGUCUCUUCCAACCGAAACUUUAUGAUUCUAUGAUUCUAUAAUUAUUUAGAGGAAUAUGGUGGGCAUGAAUAAAGACCUUUUGAGUAAGGUAAUCAGCCGCAAAUCAGUGUUUCUGCAUGCAAAGCUUUUUAUUUAUUAAUGUGCUAUGGACAAAAGAAAGAAAGAAGGAAUAAAGCAGUGUAAUACUUAUUGGUUUCAAGUUACUUACAUGGUUUUUAUGGGGUACUCUUUUAUCCUGUUACACUAAAUACUGCUUGGCUAGGUGUUCUGAGCAAUCCUAUCUAUUAAUGUAUUCCUUGUUCAGCAUGGCUGUGGAGCAGGCUGUAGCCAGACUGCAUUUGUGGUAUGUUGAGUGAGAAGGAGCCCCACAGCGUGAUCGCUUCUCAGGUGGCUAUCUGUGGUGGUAUCUCUUUCUUUAUUGACUGUAGAGAGGAAAAGAUAAUUCUCCAAAUGCCUGAAGCAAGAGAUUCAAGCUAGGUGGGGGUGAAUCCCUGAAUUCCUCCCCUCUUGGCAACACGCUGUUUAGUCAACCAGCAACCUUGAAAGCUUGUUGCAGUCUAAAGCAGAGAAAACUUGGAUUCCAUUUGUUUGCUACAUCCUUUUACAAUAACUUUUGCUACAUAAUUUUUACAAGAUCUGCUAAGAAGAAUAGCCCUGUGUCUUACACUGUGCAAGUAAUAGUCUUUGCAAAAUGCAUGAAUUAUAGCAAGGGAAACUGCUUGCUUUUUCCUAUCGAGUGAAACUGGGGCAGAGAAACUGUCUUCCUAUUUCAGCAGUCCGGCUCUAUCACUGUUCUUCAGGCUACAUCAUCUUAUUCCACUAUUACUUUAACACUUGAUAUACCACUAGGGAUGCUACCCUCUGAUGUCAGUGUAGCCAGAUCAUGUCUGUGGUGAAAAGGGAUGGAAGAAAGGAGUCCUUUAUAUUUUCAUUUUUAUGACAGACUUAUUACUCCUGCAUAGUUUGGCUCUUUUUUUUUCAUGUGAACGUCAUAUUCAAGGAUCACUUCAUGAGCUCAGUUUAAUCUGGACCUACGAUUUUCUGUUAUCAGGUCUACUUGUCUCACUGCAGUGUUAGAUUUUAUAGGACUGCAUUCCAAAGCCUGAGAUGCACCAGCAGAAAUUUCUUAUUUCAGAUGCCUGACUGGCUAAUAAUUUAAGUUGUUCUUAAGACACAUAACUUUCCCUAUGGCUGGAGAACAGCAAGUUUUUAUCAGCACCAAGCUUGUCAGAGUUUCUUCUCAAUGAUACAUCAAGGUCAAACAUUUGGAGCAGUUGAAGAAGAGACAGCCUGUUUCAAAGCGCCUUUGUUCAUAAGCUUUCAUGGCUAAAGCUGCAUGCUUCGUAGGCCGUGAAGAGAGUUAGUUUUAUGGAUUUUUAAACAUAGAAAAGGUAUUUCAGCUAAUACUGUAGAAAAGCAGAAUUGCUAUUCAAACAUUAAAGCACUUUUAUUCUUCAAAAUAAUAUUUUUUCCCCCAAAGCUUAACAUUGACAUUAUCUCUUUAACAUUCUUCUCCAACAGGAAGACACCUCGUUCUUACAGUUUGUGCAUAUCUUACAGUUUGUGUGUAGAGGAAACGUCUCCACACAGACUGCUGCAUGAUAUUAAUGGCCCUGGAUACCAAACUCUGUACGCUCCAAAACAAAUACAGCAAAGAUUAAAAACUGCCAACAACCAAAAGACACAAUUUAAAACAUUCCUGGAAACAUCUUGGAUCUCUCCUGGAGAUCAUAAGUAGGUCUUGGCCAAGAUCUCAAAUUCACCUAUAAUAUUAUAUAAACAGUCUGGACAGGGGUUCAGUAAACAGGCAUUGGAUUGUAUCCAGACUGUUUCCCAUCUGCUGUGUCCUGCUCCCACCAGUGCACACAGCAUUUUCAAAGACAGAAGUAACCUCUGCUGUGUUUUGGAGGAUGCUUGAUUUAAAACUUCCACACUGAGUCUGAGUACUGACCUGAAGCUCUUUGACAAGCGGAAUGGUGUGUAUCAUUGCCAGACCCCAGCCAGAACACUGGGCAUGAGUUCUGCUGCUGCAGCAGGACUGGGCACGUGCAGAAGACUUCAGGGCUAUUUUCAGUAAAAAUCUGAGCUAAUCAUAGAAUGUCCUGAGUUGGAAGGGACCCACAAGGAUCACUGAGUCCAACUCCUGUCCCUGCAUAUGACAACCCCACAGUUCACACCAUGUGUCUGAGGGUGUUGUCCAGUCUCUUCUUGAACACUGUCAGGUUUGGGGCCGUGACACCUCCCUGGGGAGCCUGUUCCAGUGCUCCACCACCCUCUGGGGGAAGAACCUUCCCCUCAUGUCCAACCUAAACCUCCCCUGGCACAUCUUCCUGCCAUUCCUUCGGGUUCUGUCACUGGUCACCAGAGAGAAGAGAUCAGUGCCUGCUCCUCCUCCUUCUCUUGUGAGGAAGCUGUAGCCACCAUGAGGUCUUCCCUCAGUCUCCUCUUCUCCAAGCUGAACAAACCAAGUGACUUUAGCCGCUCCUCAUAUGGCUUCCUCUCCAAACCCUUCACCAACUUUGUAGCCCUAAGACUUCAGGGUAAACAAGGUCCUAAUUGUGGGGCUUAGCGAUCUCCAUUGGCCUAAGUCCCCUCCUUAGGACUGUAGGACCCUCUCUGCACCUGGCCCUGGUGGAGCGCUGCAGGUGACCUGUCCUGCAGGGUUGUCUCACUUCCUGGGCCUGUAUGUUGCCGCUGAACAGCUUUUCUUCAUUGCAAGUUCUUAUUUAUGGAUCUGACAAUGCCAUCUCAGUUUCCUUCACUGCAGGCCCAGCCUGUGUGUUUCACAGCUUUCUAAAGCUACUGACAACCAUUUUUAUCUGAACCGAUGGUAGUUCAGGUCAGCGGAAGUUAACCAAGUGCUUAUCAAAUUAGCAUCUGUGUGUGUACACAAACUCAUGGCAGAAGAAAAGAGGUUUAUUUUGCAUUUCAAAGCACCCUUUUGAUCAAGAAGAUGGCCUUCAUUUGAGGGACUUUUUUCAAGUUAUUUACUUAUUUAUGUGUAAUUAAUAAUAACAAUUAUUAUUUUUUAAACCUAUAUGACCAUUCGUUUCCAUUUUCUAGAUUCUUUUUGCUAUCAUCAGAGUUUGACAAGUUUGGUUUCAUGACUCCUUAAUCAGCUACAUUCACUACCUUGAUUUUUUUUCCCUUGUUACUAUGAUGAACUAAGUUCCCCAAACGUGGACUCCUGCUUUGGCUGCAGCCUUAAUGUCUCCAGGUACACCGUACAGCUAUAAAGGCUAAUGGAAAUAAUGUCAUUGCACCUGCAUUUGACUUAGUACAGAGCACUGGAAACAAACUGGAGAAUGACAUAUAUGAGAACAGAAUGAUUUAUCACAUUUAGUGUCACAUUUAAUAUCACACGGUUAAAGGAUACAAUUUCAUGUUUACAUCAUAAUUUGCACAGGCUAAAAGCAAGCCCUUCUAACUAACCUCGUAAGUGAAAGCUGAAGUGUUUUCUUCAGAAUGGCUUUUGGUCUUUUCAUGACAAGAUAAAAAAUAAAGGGUUAAAAAAUUUGUGCAGUUCUCAAGUAAAAUCUCAAGUGAACAACAGGUUUCUGCACAUUUAUGAAAAAAUACCGCUUGAUAAUAUGCUAAAUAUUUCACAACUAUUUCAGCAAUAUUUUAACUUCUGGUUUAGUUAUAUUUAAUUGCAGUUAAAGUGGUAUGCAUAGGGCAGUUAGGUUAACUCCUGAAAUGCUCUUCCUACGAGUAACUCUGAAGAUAAACGCUGAAAAAUAGCCAGGGCCUUCAUAUAUGACUAAUAACUUAUCUGUACCAGUCCAAUAAUGAAACAGUGAAUUUUGUCUAGUUGUAGAAAGCAUACAAGUUUUGUUUUGCCUGGUUUUCUUUCCUUCAGCACUGCAGCUUGUUGAGUGUUGAGCCUCACAGAACAUUUCCAGGGAAUAAAUUCAGUCAUCUAAUUAUGAGCGGUAAACAGUUGCAGUGAAAAAAAAAGUUUGUUGGUAUAACUAACCAGUGGUAAGUACCGAGGAAUUUGUGGUUUAUAAUGCAUGUUCAUAAUCUGGCUUUGUUGAUUUUGCAGCGAUGAUAGAGAUACAAGUGGUUUGGCCUGGUUUCUGCUAGUUAUUCAAAUAGCUGCGGGAAUGAAAACAAAGCCAAGGGGCAAAACACUAUAAAAACUGAUUGAUUAAUUUUUCUUAAUAAUUACAUCUCUGAGGUCAACUCACGCUGAAGAGGGAAUGUGGAACCAGGAGAAAAGUUCUGACUUUGCAUCCAGACUAACUGAAACUAAGAUGAGGCCCGAUCCUUAAACAGGGAGAGGAACAUGACUCUGAGGUCUAAACGCCCUGAACUGCUAUAUGGAAGGACAGGCUUUUACUGCCUCUCUGAUGUCACCACAUACGAUGUUUCUAUAAACAAAAUGGAAGUUUGUUAAUUUUAUUUGCAGGGCAGCUCUAUAAAUGUUCAAGUGAAAAAAAAGGGUAGUAAAAAUGCUUAUUGUGGAGUUUCUAAACAGCACUUAUAUCUCCGCUUGUAAAGUCUACAUGCUCUCUUUCUGAUCUAAAGAUCCUGUAAAUGAACAAACCACCCAUUUUAUCCCAUUCCUAACUUCAAGUCUCACCCCUUCUUUUCUCCUGCAAGGAAAAGACUUAUGAGCACAAUUGUGGCAUUUGUCCUAGAUGAUCACAGCCCCCUCACUCAGCCUUGUCUCCACCUGCUUGGUGCCUCUUCAUCGCUUCCCGUCAACCUGUACACUGCUGCUGCCACCGCUCCACAGCUGGAGACAGAUGGUAUUUUGCUUAUAAAAUAAGCAUUCCUUUUUCUUGCUGUGGAUAAGGAAGCAGUACUCAUUUCUACUGCUUCCAGACCUAAGGUCCAGAGCAGGAGGAGAAUGUAUCUGUUCUGCUAGCCUAACUUUUAUAAAACAGCCUGUACAGCACUAUUAUGCACAAACAGAAAAGCUUAGAUGUACUGCGCGUUUCAAAAAGAUGGACCCAAUUGGGUCUUUUUGAAACACCCUGUAUUUUUAUGUCAAAUAAAACUCACUCAAAAAGCUUCAUAUUCCACCUUAAUUCAUGAGUUGAAAAUAAAUUCAAGGAAAGAAAAGGAGUCGGGCUGGCUUCAUUUGUUGCCCACAUAUAAGCACCUGGUGUGAUACAAAAUGCCCUGAGGUACCCCCCCUAGUACCCAGCUGCUGGUCCAGAAUGUCUUUGAUCUCCCACUGGGCCCCAACCCCAUCUGCCAAGCCCAUGCGUAGGUCUUUGAAACUGUGAGACCUAAACCAACAGGAGACAAAAGGAAACAAGUGGGGGAUGAGUUUCAAUACGUUGUUCCAAGUCAGAUUAUUAACCUAAGAACACCUUAGGAUAUCCCAGAACACACCACAUACCUAUGUGGGUAACUGAAUCAAAUUCAGUAGGCCUAGAGGAAUUUACAACUUUUAAAACAAUCUGGUAAUAUAUUAAUAGAGAUCUUCACAGAGCUGUGAAAGGGAAAAAGAUGCAGGGACUCUCAUAAUACAAUAGCAAGAAAAAAGAUGACAUUCAACAAAAAAAGAAAAAGAGAAAAGUAUUUCUUUUGGGUUUGAAAGAUUCCUUUCAGGGGAAAUGAAAAUGGAUGUAAACCAUAUGUUUUUUGAGGACUGUCAGAAGUGGUGGUUACAUAGUAUUCAGCCACUACUUUAUUUGCAAAGAACUAAAAGGAGGUGGAAUUAAUCAGAAAUGUGGAGAGUGAGACACGUAAUUGGUAAGAACAUCCAAAUCUCUUUCAACAACGCUGGAGCCUUAAAAGCAUCAAAGUAAACACCAGACCACAUCUCUCUGAGGUAGAAAAAGGGGAAAAAUGUAGAAGUCUGGGUGACUGCUGCUUAAACCUCAUGAAUGCUGUGGAUUCUCCCAGCUUACCACCACAGAUUAGAAUCAAACCUUGAAUUGUAUUUCAUUGGGUACUUCACAUCAAAAGCUCAUAAAAAGAUUUAAAAAUAUUUAAGUGAGUUCAAUGCAUACAGAUCUACUAAAAAUGUUUAGGAAUGCUUCUGCUUUGGUGAUUCAAACUGCAAUGAUCAGAGGAAGAAUUAUAUUAAGCCUUCUUUAUAAAAAGUUACCAGCAAUAAGACUCAUAAAUACAGUAUUUAUUUUAAAAUCUUAUCCUGAAAAUUAUGUUAGUGAUUAUGGCAACAUUCCUCAAGAUGACAUUAAGACAUCACUAAUUACAUUCUAGACUACAAAACAUACAUAAUGAAAAUAAGGGAUAACAUCUUCAAAACCUCAGGACCUCCUAGAAGCUGAAAUGCCUCAGAAAAAUAAACUUUUCUCUCUACCUUUAACAUAGGUAAGAAAAAGAGAGGGAAAAAAGCCAUCUCCUCAUGCAUGUAUUCACAAAAUUGCAUAGCAACCUAUCUAGGAAAGCCUACCAACGUGUGCAAUCCGUGCACUGUGCUUAUUUCUCAUGGUAAUCUUUUAUCGGAGAACAAAGCCCCGUUUGCUGAAACAGUUCUGCUUGUAUAAAGUAACAGCUUGUCCAAUAAGCAACAAAGGACAAUUUAGUUCUCAGUACAAAUAACCUGGCUAAAUCUAGAUGAGCUUGCUCAAGAAACAGGGCAAUAAAGCCUCAUUCACAAACAAAGCUGAACAACCUGGUUACUCCAUACUAACGCAGCCCCAGAGAGCAUCUGAAGGGAGCUUGUUCAGAACCAGCCAGGACAUGUGUCCAGCCCUGGGCUGGGUUGGAUAUACCAAUCAAAGAUUGUGAUAUAGAACAUCACCUUAAUGUCAUUCAAAGAUCCGACUUUUUAAGUUCUUCACAUAGGUCUGACCUUAACACCUAGAGAGGUGGUUGCCCUUGCUUUGACUAUGGCAUCCCAUGUCAAAUAUUUCACUACAAACCAAAUUAAUGGAAGUCCAGAACUCCAUAGGAGAAGAAUUACACAGGAACUUAGCCAAGAGAAAAGCAUUUGCUCCUACAGGGCAGCCAGUAUGUACCUCAGUCACAUUAAAAUGAAGCUAGCUUUACUCCAGAACAAUGUGUAGGUGUCUGUCUGGAUGUACUUCUAUUGUAACUCAAAAUACUAGUGUGAUAAGCUGGUAAAUAAGGGAACAUAAAUGAUAGUUACUAUGAAUUUUAGGAGGUUGUCAGAUACUGAAUAUGAUAGUGGUACCUUGUCAGUACCCCAAAGGGGAAUAUAAAUACAUGUGAAAAGUAUGAGAAUACAUAAGAGAAUAUGGUAAUUGCCACAAAUAAGGAAUUAUGUCACUUACCUUAUUUUUAAAAACAGAUUUAAGCCCAUUAACAAUCAAACAAUGAGUUUAUUUGCAGGAUACAUUUAUCAUACAUAGAAAACAAUACUUAUUGUUUGGUUGAUUAAAUAGAGAAAAAAAGCAAAACAAAAACACAAUGCAUUAUUCAAAGUGUUCCAUGUAUUUGUUAGCUGACAUUUUCAAAAUGAAGCUUCUUUUUUUAAAAAAAAACAAAAAAAACAA